rnacentral:lncRNA from 1 species
ACAGGGGCUCAGGGCCUCUUAUGAAUGAGGAGCUCGCAUGGAAGGGUAAUAUCCAUAUUUCGAACUAAUGGAAAAAUACUGUGCAAUGGGGAGAUGAAGAUAGUACCCGUGGCUCCGUCAAAGGGUGACUCUGACAUUUGCUGUUACCCAUUGCUUCAAAUUAGGUCUGACUGCUCCAGCUGUCAUCUCACCUGCUGGCUCCCUUAAUUUUAGUCUCUAGCCCUUCCCUACUGGAACUUGAAAUACUAAAGGGAACGGUUAAGAAGUUUAAUUCCUGGACCGGAGCGCCCCCUAGGCACACCGAGCUAAACUGUGACGCGCUUCAUCUGACUCAGGAUUCUGGGAAGUUGAUGUCCAGGGUCAGCAUCGGAUCCUUGAACUUCCCGGCAAUAUUCAGCAGCCGCGGUGAGUGCACAGGGACAGAAGAA